rnacentral:rRNA from 1 species
UACGUAGGGUGCGAGCGUUAAUCGGAAUUACUGGGCGUAAAGCGUGCGUAGGCGGUUCGUUAAGUUCGUUGUGAAAGCCCCGGGCUCAACCUGGGAAUGGCAAUGGAAACUGGCGGGCUGGAGUAUGGCAGAAGGGGGUGGAAUUCCGCGUGUAGCAGUGAAAUGCGUGGAGAUGCGGAGGAACACCGAUGGCGAAGGCAGCCCCCUGGGCUAACACUGACGCUCAUGCACGAAAGCGUGGGGAGCAAACAGG